AGCUUCGCGCAGCGGCGAUAUCGUAACCAAUGAGGCUCUACCGAGGCGCGAUUAUUGCUAGUUGAAAAAUAACCGAUCCCACGAAAAUCUUAGUAUCGUUGAAACAAGUAUACUCGAUAAAUAUUGUUAUAAAAAAAA